rnacentral:rRNA from 1 species
AUUGAACGCUGCGGCAUGCCUUACACAUGCAAGUCGAACGGUAACAGGUCUUCGGAUGCUGACGAGUGGCGAACGGGUGAGUAAUACAUCGGAACGUGCCCAGACGUGGGGGAUAACGAGGCGAAAGCUUUGCUAAUACCGCAUACGAUCUAAGGAUGAAAGCAGGGGACCGCAAGGCCUUGCGCGUUUGGAGCGGCCGAUGGCAGAUUAGGUAGUUGGUGGGAUAAAAGCUUACCAAGCCGACGAUCUGUAGCUGGUCUGAGAGGACGACCAGCCACACUGGAACUGAGACACGGCCCAGACUCCUACGGGAGGCAGCAGUGGGGAAUUUUGGACAAUGGGCGAAAGCCUGAUCCAGCAAUGCCGCGUGCAGGAUGAAGGCCUUCGGGUUGUAAACUGCUUUUGUACGGAACGAAAAGGCUCUGGCUAAUACCUGGGGCACAUGACGGUACCGUAAGAAUAAGCACCGGCUAACUACGUG